rnacentral:piRNA from 1 species
UUUGAGCCCUGUUACUCAUUACUGUAGUAGU